GUGCUCACUUUGGCAGCAUAUAUACUAAAACUGGAAUGAUACAGAGAAGAUUAGCAUGGCCCCUGCACAAGGAUGACAUGCAAAUUUGUGAAAUGUUCCAUAUUUUU
ensembl:snRNA U6 U6 spliceosomal RNA